rnacentral:rRNA from 1 species
UACAGAGGUCCCAAGCGUUGUUCGGAUUCACUGGGCGUAAAGGGUGCGUAGGUGGUCGAGUAAGUCUGAUGUGAAAUCCCUCGGCUCAACUGAGGAACUGCCUUUGAAACUGUCUGGCUUGAGGCCGGGAGGGGGUAGCGGAAUUCCCAGUGUAGCGGUGAAAUGCGUAGAUACUGGGAGGAACACCAGUGGCGAAGGCGGCUACCUGGACCGGUUCUGACGCUGAGGCGCGAAAGCGUGGGUAGCAAACAGG